GUUUUAAUAAUUUAUAUUUAAAAUAUUGGUCUUGUAAACCAAAAAAAAGAAAGGAUCUUUUAAAACU
rnacentral:tRNA from 1 species